ensembl:ncRNA Y46E12A.7 ncRNA
UGGCGGCCUAACUUUUGCAAUAAUUGGUUUUCUAGGCCACCAACUUUUUUUUGC